rnacentral:tRNA from 1 species
GCUGAGGUGGUGGAAUGGCAGACACACAGGUCUCAGAAACCUGUUCCCGAAAGGGUAAAUAUGGGUUCAAAUCCCAUCCUCAGCA